AGCCCAUGGUCUGAAAAGCUUCCAAAGUGCUGCUCUACAUGACCCAUGCUGCCUCAGUCCUUCUAGUCCAAAGCUCCAGUUGCCUCUGGCUGCCUUGAGACUCCUAAGAGAACAGGAGGAUGCAGACAAAUAAGAGUGUUUCUCACCCAGUUUGUUCACUCAAGCAAGCCAAGACCUUCCUAUGCAGUGUGCUCAACCCUUGUGAGACGGGCUUUGGCCAUUAUCAGCAUCCUUGUGCACUGGAGAGGAAGCAUGGAUAUUGGAAGUCACCCAGUGACUGACCCAUCUAGGACUGCUCCACUGCACAGACUGGCUUCAGCGGAUCUAGAGGAGCACUGGGGUGAAGACGUUCGUCAUCAAGCUAUCACGGCUCUGGGAUAUCUUCAUCACCGGUGCACAAGACAACUUUGA
rnacentral:lncRNA from 1 species